rnacentral:misc_RNA from 1 species
AACCAUUCUCACCUGCGGCUAGACCUGCGGAAGGAUCAUUACCGAGUUUACAACUCCCAAACCCCUGUGAACAUACCUAUACGUUGCCUCGGCGGAUCAGCCCGCGCCCCGUAAAACGGGACGGCCCGCCCGAGGACCCCUAAACUCUGUUUUUAGUGGAACUUCUGAGUAAAACAAACAAAUAAAUCAAAACUUUUAGCAACGGAUCU